rnacentral:rRNA from 1 species
GACGAACGCUGGCGGCGUGCUUAACACAUGCAAGUCGAACGGUAAGGCCCUUCGGGGUACACGAGUGGCGAACGGGUGAGUAACACGUGGGUGAUCUGCCCUGCACUUCGGGAUGAGCCUGGGAAACUGGGUCUAAUACCGGAUAGGACCCUGGGAUGCAUGUCCUGGGGUGGAAAGCUUUUGCGGUGUGGGAUGGGCCCGCGGCCUAUCAGCUUGUUGGUGGGGUGAUGGCCUACCAAGGCGACGACGGGUAGCCGGCCUGAGAGGGUGACCGGCCACACUGGGACUGAGAUACGGCCCAGACUCCUACGGGAGGCAGCAGUAGGGAAUAUUGCACAAUGGGCGCAAGCCUGAUGCAGCGACGCCGCGUGAGGGAUGACGGCCUUCGGGUUGUAAACCUCUUUCAGCUAUGACGAAGCGCAAGUGACGGUAGUAGCAGAAGAAGGACCGGCCAACUACGUGCCAGCCGCCGCUGUAA